CACACCGCCCGUCACGCUAUGGGAGCCGGUAACACCUGAAGUCGCUGGGCUAACCCGCAAGGGAGGCAGGCGCCGAGGGUGGGAUCGGUGACUGGAGCG
rnacentral:rRNA from 1 species